UGGAUCUAAAGAUUUUUCCUU
ensembl:piRNA 21ur-13191 ncRNA